UUCAAGUGCAGGUUUCAGAAUACCA
rnacentral:piRNA from 1 species